UACGUAGGCAGCGAGCGUUGUUCGGAGUUACUGGGCGUAAAGGGUGUGUAGGCGGUUGUUUAAGUUUGGUGUGAAAUCUCCCGGCUCAACUGGGAGGGUGCGCCGAAUACUGAAUGACUUGGAGUGCGGGAGAGGAGAGUGGAAUUCCUGGUGUAGCGGUGAAAUGCGUAGGUAUCAGGAGGAACACCGGUGGUGUAGACGGCUCUCUGGACCGUAACUGACGCUGAGACACGAAAGCGUGGGUAGCAAACAGG
rnacentral:rRNA from 1 species